CCCAGUCAGCCGCACUCUCACCUGCUCACAGUCGGUUUUACGUCUCAAAUUGGCCGCCUCAGCUGAUGGACGGUCCGCAGGCAGCUCUCGGGACAUGUCCAUGAAAUCCUUGGAAAGAGCUCCCGAGGACGCCAUCGUCUUACUGCAUCCUUUCACCUGCACCUGCGUCCUCUGCAUGGAUUCUUCACUGUGGCGUCCACGGCCUCCUGCACCCAGAGCUGCUGCAGCUCUGCCACGCCAGCACCCACAUGGACUCUGCCGAAGGGGGCCCAACGCUUCGCGGGUCACUGCUGCCCAUCUUUCCAGAGCCCAUGCCAGCACCGCCUCCUUAGGUUGUCUUUUUGGAUUUGCUUGUUUGUUUAAUGGUUUUCUUUGCUGUGCAAAAGCCUGUCAGUUUGAUUAGGUCUCAUUGGUUUAUUUUUGGUUUUUAUUGCUAUUGUUUUGGGAGACUGACCUAAGAAAACAUUUGCACGGUUGAUGUCAGAGAAUGUUUAGCCCAUGUUCUCUUCUAAGUCUUGUGGCAUCUUGUUUUAUGUUUAAGUCUUAAGCCCUUUUGAGUGUAUUUUUGUGCAUGGUAUGAGGGUGUGUUCCAGUUUCAUUGAUUUACAUGAGGCUGCCCAGUUUUUCCAGCAUCACUUGCUGAAAAGACUGUCUUUUUCCCAUUUUAUAUUCUUAUCUCCUUUGACAAAGAUUAAUUGACCAUAAGUGUCUGGCUUUAUUUCUGGGUUCUCUGUUCUGUUCCAUUGGUCUGUAUGUCAGUUUUGGUACCAAUUCCCCACUGUCUUGAUGACUGUGGCUUUGUAACAUUGCCUGAAGUCUGGGAGAUUAUGCUUCCUGCUUGGUUUUUGUUCCUCAGCAUUGCUUUGGCAAUUCUGGGUCUUUAUGGCUCCACAUAAAUUUUGGGGUUGUUUGUUCAACCAGAACUGUGAAAAAUGUCAUGGGUAAUUUGAUAGGGAUUGCAUUGAAUCUGUAGAUUGCUUUGGGUGGUAUGGCCAUUUUUACAAUAUUAAUUUUUCCAACCCAGGAGCAUGGAAUAUCUUUCCACUUCUUUGAAUCCUCUUUAAUUUCCUUGAUGAAUGUUUUAUAGUUCUCAGCAUAUAUGUCUUUCACCUCCCUGGUCAGGCUUGUUCCUAGGUAUUUAAUUUUAUGUGGUGUGAAUUAAAAUGUAUUUUUCCUUUUCUAAUAUUUCAUUGUUAGUAUACAGAAAUGCCACUGAUUUCUGAAUGUUAAUCUUAUAUCCUGCUACUUUGAUGAAUUUGUUGAUCAGUUUAGUCGUUUUUGGGUUGAGUCCUUAGAGUUUUCUAUAUAUAGUAUCAUGUCAUCUGCAUACAGUGACAGUUUUACCUCUUCUCUUCCGAUUUGGAUACCUUUUAUUUAUUUUGUUUGAUCGCUGUGGCCAGGAC
rnacentral:lncRNA from 1 species